GUGUCGCAAUAAACCAGUGACGUCACACAAUCCUUCAAUAACCCAGUGAGGAACAAAAAGUGCGCUCCUCGACUAACAAACAAACAGUCGUAAUGGCAGACAGCGCGCACAAAAACAGAAUUAAGACAAAGUGGCACAGCCCCGCAGCCCGAGCCUCGUCAAUCACCCCGCUUGCUGACUACCGGGUCACUACUUUUGUCAAUUCUUACGUUACUACACUGCAUCAGCUCAUUUACUACAUAAACCCACUGCCUAUAAUAUUUUUAGUCUUUUCUCCAACAAUCAUAACUAUUUGUUAAUGAGUUUGGACUAGUGGGUAAAAGGACCAACCUCUCAAGUAUGAGGGCGCGGGUUCGAUCCCAGGUUAGGCAAGUACCAAUGCAACUUUUCUAAGUUUGUAUGUACUUUCUAAGUAUAUCUUAGACACCAUUGGCUGUGUUUCGGAUGGCACGUUAAACUGUAGGUCCCGGCUGUCAUUGAACAUCCUUGGCAGUCGUUACGGGUAGUCAGAAGCCAGUAAGUCUGACACCAGUCUAACCAAGGGGUAUCGGGUUGCCCGGGUAACUGGGUUGAGGAGGUCAGAUAGGCAGUCGCUUCUUGUAAAGCACUGGUACUCA
rnacentral:lncRNA from 1 species